CGUUGGCCGGAAGAGGAAGCGCACACUCUGAUUGCGAGGCCGCCAACGUUCGCUAGGCGCCCCUGAACGCUGGCUGCUGCCCGCUCGGACUCGCACGUCCGUUAUCUUGAUAGAGCCUGGCUCGGGUUGGGAUGCCGGGGACGGUCCGGGCUUACGGAGGAGGAAACGGAAAUCCGCAGAGGCGAAGGGGUUCGCCUGAGGUCCGCCAGUGGCGGAUGGGAUUCACCUUUGGACUCGCUGCUUUUCCCCAGCCGGUGUUCCUUCCUCCUGCUUCACUCUAGAUCCAUUCCUCCGCUCUCUCUGUCUCGCUGCCAUUCUGUUCCACCCAUUCGCUACAGGGUCCUUGCCCUUCCUGUCCAGCUUGCUCAUCCUCUUUAACUAAGCCUUGCUGUUCCUACUGUCUUCUCGCGCCACAUUCGCUGCCACACCUCUCCUUCCUCAUUCAUAGCUUUCAAGCCCUUACCUCGAUAAACUUUCUCAGCUGUAGACACCGAAGAGUGAAAAGGCUAGGCUCCAGUGAGGUGUGCAGGGUCUAGACGACUGAUUGGUCUUUACUGUAAAAAGCUACGGGAUGCCAUUUCUGUAGACCCCACCCCAAGAAUCCCGAAGCUCUUUUUAAUCCAAUAUGUCAUUCUCGGAAUGAGGGGCUUCGCACUUUGGGGAGGUGUCUUGACUCUUAGCCAAUUGCUACUAACAUUUUUUACCCCCGCUUGCCACAUAGCUCCCUCACCUCUAUGUGGCAUACAGAGCUUGGAGUCUAAACUGUUAACAACAUGCAAUUUAUUGUUGCAAAAUAACACACACAUUUUUUUCCUAAGCUAGACUAUCAACUGGCUUCGUGAUUAUUUUUUUUUUCUUUUUAGAAAAGCUACUUGUGGGGGUUGGGGAUUUAACUCAGUGGUAGAGCGCUUCCCUAGCAAGCGCAAGGCCCUGGGUUUGGUCCCCAGCUCCGAAAAAAAAAGAAAAGAAAAGAAAAACUACUUAUCUCACUUAUUUUCAAUAUUAUGGCAAGAAAAAGAAGGCAAAAAUGGAAUACACUUUAAACGAAUAGGACAUCUUUGUCAAAAAUUCUAGCUGGCUGUAGUGGUGCAUACCUGUAACCCUAGCAUUUGUGAGGCUGAGGCAAGAGGAUCUUGAGUUCAAGACUAGCCUCGGCUACAGAGAGACGCUGCCUACAAACGGAAAAGUGAACACAAUUUAGUUGAUUAAAUUCAAGUUCCCUUUCUGCAAACAAUGGCCCAUAAUGCACACUCCAUUGUACUGAAUUUAUUCUCUCACCAGCUUGAUAUGACUUUAUGUAAAAGGAACAUAGGCACAUAGAAAUAAAUUCUAUCUUUGUGUGUGUG
rnacentral:lncRNA from 1 species